UGAGGCCCAGGGUAUGUAAGAAGGAGGACUGGCAACAGACCUCCCUCUCCUAGGAAAACUAGCAACUGGUGCAGUUUCAGGGUACCCCCCGGGUCUUGCGUGGCUUAAUUGCUCGUGGCAUGGGGUGUGGUAUCGGUCACUGCUAAGGCUUGCUAGCCCUUUCCCUGCCUCUUGGCCGGGUGCUUCGGUGCCUUGAUCAAGAGAGAUUUGGCAGCCCUUGUGGUUGUAAAGGUGUCUUAAUAGCCAACUUCGUUUCCAAGGCGGCAGCAUGCUACGUGAUCUCUAGUCUGCUUGCCUGCUGUGGGCGAGGUUAUUCCCGCCCAUGACACCGACUGAGUUAGACCCCUCGGGGCAUCGCUCGGUGUGAUGGGAUGGGAGCAGAAGACCUGCUAGCUUCUUGCCAGCGGGCGACUCUGGAGUCUGUGGAUGGCUGGCUGAUAGCUACCAUUCAACUAGAUUCUCGGGGGAAGGCCCUAACCAGUAGCCGCCUUUUUGGUGUGAUCUGGGGAUGGGUCCCCUCCACUCGAAGGGCACAUGCAGCGGUGUAUGGCGGCCAAAUGGCCCGAGUACCUCCGCGGCGGACUGCACUUUGGGAAACUCAGUGGGGGCAAUUGAAUAGCCAGUGGCUGCUUCUCGCGUUCACGCUUGCGGCGUCUCUGGCUGGGUACACCUCGGUGCACCCCGUCCUUGUAACAAACUCCGGGCCUCCUUUUAGGGGCCCUUCCCUCGCUGUGCCCGCAAGGGCCAGUGUGGGAUUCAGGAUAGUUACCUGGUUGAUUCUGCCAGUAGUCAUAUGCUUGUCUCAAAGAUUAAGCCAUGCAUGUCUAAGUAUAAGCAAUUAUACCGUGAAACUGCGAAUGGCUCAUUAAAUCAGUUAUCGUUUAUUUGAUAGUACCUUACUACUUGGAUAACCGUGGUAAUUCUAGAGCUAAUACAUGCUAAAAACCUCGACUUCGGGAGGGGUGUAUUUAUUAGAUAAAAAACCAAUGCCCUUCGGGGCUCCUUGGUGAUUCAUAAUAACUUAACGGAUCGCAUGGCCUUGCGCCGGCGACGGUUCAUUCAAAUUUCUGCCCUAUCAACUUUCGAUGGUAAGGUAUUGGCUUACCAUGGUUUCAACGGGUAACGGGGAAUUAGGGUUCGAUUCCGGAGAGGGAGCCUGAGAAACGGCUACCACAUCCAAGGAAGGCAGCAGGCGCGCAAAUUACCCAAUCCCGACACGGGGAGGUAGUGACAAUAAAUACUGAUACAGGGCUCUUUUGGGUCUUGUAAUCGGAAUGAGUACAAUUUAAACCCCUUAACGAGGAACAAUUGGAGGGCAAGUCUGGUGAACUUUCAGCUAGUUCCAUUCUGCUGACGCCAGAGAUAGUCGGGCGCCUCAGGGCGUUAUGCCGGCUAGUCGAGCACCCACUGAUCUGAUGGGGGGGUGCCGGCAAGACAACCUGGAUCGGGGAAGGCUAAGGCGCAAGCUAAGCUGAUCCCGAGCAGAGCCUUCGCGGAGCGAUCCACGAUAUGGCCUGUGUAGAGCACGGUAAGGUGUCGGCUGGCUCACGUAGUCAGCUUAAGGGACGUGCCAUUCCCACCCGAAAGGGUGGCCGCCAGCAAUAGCGCCCAUCUCGCGAAGGCUGACGGGUCCAAACAGCGGUUUGGAUGCAUCUCAAAAGGCCAGCAGCCGCGGUAAUUCCAGCUCCAAUAGCGUAUAUUAAAGUUGUUGCAGUUAAAAAGCUCGUAGUUGAACCUUGGGCCUGGCUGGCCGGUCCGCCUCACCGCGUGUACUGGUCCGGCCGGGCCUUUCCUUCUGGAGAUCCUCAUGCCCUUCACUGGGUGUGUUGGGGAACCAGGACUUUUACUGUGAACAGAAUUAGAGUGUUCAAAGCAGGCCUUUGCUCGAAUACAUUAGCAUGGAAUAAUAGAAUAGGACGUGCGGUCCUAUUUUGUUGGUUUCUAGGAC
rnacentral:rRNA from 1 species